AUCGAUUGUAAGAAUCGGACUGUCACCUUUAGAGAGCCGGGACAGGAGGAGGUUGUGUUUAGGGGAUGUCAGAGUUUGCUGUUUGCGAUGAUGAUCAGUUCGUCUCCAGCUAGAUAGUUGAUCAGCAGGGGUUGUGUAGCCUAUUUGACUAGUGUUGUGUUGAGGGGGGUUGAUGAUACCCCUAGAAUUGAGGAUAUCCCGGUAGUAUGGGAGUUUCGUGACGUGUUUUCAGCGGAGCUACUAGGUAUGCUAUCUGAUAGAGAGAUUGAGUUUGUGGUA
rnacentral:lncRNA from 1 species